UUAGUUCUUCAUUACAAAUUAGUGUAGGGUGU
rnacentral:piRNA from 1 species